rnacentral:rRNA from 1 species
GUGGGGAAUAUUGGGCAAUGGGCGAAAGCCUGACCCAGCAACGCCGCGUGAAGGAAGAAGGUUUUCGGAUUGUAAACUUCUGUCCUCAGGGAAGAAGAAAGUGACGGUACCUGAGGAGGAAGCCCCGGCUAACUACGUGCCAGCAGCCGCGGUAAUACGUAGGGGGCGAGCGUUGUCCGGAAUGACUGGGCGUAAAGGGCGCGUAGACGGCUGUCUAAGUCUGGAGUGAAAGUCCUGCUUUCAAGGUGGGAAUUGCUUUGGAGACUGGAUGGCUUGAGUGCGGAAGAGGUAAGUGGAAUUCCCAGUGUAGCGGUGAAAUGCGUAGAGAUUGGGAGGAACACCAGUGGCGAAGGCGACUUACUGGGCCGUAACUGACGUUGAUGCGCGAAAGCGUGGGGAGCGAACAGGAUUAGAAACCCCUGUAGUCC